UCAUGGGUGAUUAGAAAAUUACAAUUCAUUUUUGCAAUAGCCUUAUAAUAUUAUGAAGGACCGCGGGGCAAAAUUUUAGAAUUUUUAGAGCUUGUUUGAGUGGAUUUUUGAAAAAUGUCAAUUAUAGGGACUAAAACGUAAUUUUUAAGAUUUUGAGUAUUGUCUGAUUUGGAGGGCCCAGGAGGGGCCAUGUGAUAUUGAUGAGAUGUGAUUGUGGAAAUUGAGAAUUUAGAAGUGUUAUUUGAGCCUUUUUGCAGGUUGGGUAGGUCCCAGGUAUAGGGGAAACUCUGCCGGAUUUCCGGCAUGAAUUAGGCUGUCUAUUGCCUCUUUAGAGUUUUAUUCUAACUUAGUACUAAUAAAUUUAUAAUUUAAUUAUUAGGUGAUCGAGAUCAGCUAUUUUUCUGCGUCCAGCAGCCACAAUAGUCAUCGGUGUACUGCUACAGGAGGAGACAUUUUUCAGAAUAACCUGUCCCUUUCCUCUCAGGUUAUGAAAAGAUUACUUAAUUGUAUUAUUAUUCUCUAAAUUUGUAAAUUUAGGACUCCGCAUGUGUUAGUAGUAGCAUUAAGCCUGUCAGGGACUGUAUGAAUUCAGGUUUUCAUAUUAAUAAAUGAAAAGAAAAAAAUUUAUGAGAUUUAAA